UUGAAGGGUUUGAUCCUGGCUCAGAACGAACGUUAGCGGUGUGGAUUAGGCAUGCAAGUCGAGCGAGAAAGCCUUCGGGUGAGUACCGCGGCGCAAGGGUGAGUAACACGUAAUCAACCUACCCCCCAGACUGGAAUAAUCGCGGGAAACUGCGGGUAAUGCCAGAUGGUUUCAGCAGUUGGCAUCAACUGCUGAUUAAACGGCGGCUUCGGCUGCUGCUGGGGGAGGGGGUUGCGGCCUAUCAGCUUGUUGGUGGGGUAAUGGCCUACCAAGGCAAUGACGGGUAGCCGGUCUGAGAGGAUGGUCGGUCACACUGGGACUGAGACACUGCCCAGACUCCUACGGGAGGCUGCAGUCGAGAAUCUUCCGCAAUGGGCGAAAGCCUGACGGAGCGACACCGCGUGCAGGAUGAAGGCCUUAGGGUUGUAAACUGCUGUCACGCCAUAGGAAUGGCGCGUUAUUAAUAGUUGCGCGUUUGACUAAAGCGAAAGGAAGCACCGGCUAACUCCGUGCCAGCAGCCGCGGUAAGACGGAGGGUGCAAACGUUGUUCGGAAUCACUGGGCAUAAAGCGCAUGCAGGCGGCCAUCUAAGUCAGGUGUGAAAUCCCACGGCUCAACCGUGGAACGGCAUUUGAAACUGGAUGGCUAGAGUACGGUUGGGGUGAGUGGAACUCCUGGUGGAGCGGUGAAAUGCGUAGAUAUCAGGAGGAACACCAGUGGCGAAAGCGGCUCACUGGACCGUAACUGACGCUGAGGUGCGAAAGCUAGGGUAGCGAACGGGAUUAGAUACCCCGGUAGUCCUAGCCGUAAACGAUGCGUACUAGGUAGGGGGGGCUCCUAUGGUCUUCUCUACCGGAGCAAAUGUGUUAAGUACGCCGCCUGGGGAGUACGCUCGCAAGAGUAAAACUCAAAGGAAUUGACGGGGGAUCACACAAGCGGUGGAGCAUGUGGUUUAAUUCGAAGCAACGCGAAGAACCUUACCUGGCCUUGACAUGUACGGAUUAGCCCUGUGAAAGCAGGGUGACAGCUCUUCGGAGUCGGAACGUACACAGGUGUUGCAUGGCUGUCGUCAGCUCGUGUCGUGAGAUGUUGGGUUAAGUCCCGUAACGAGCGAAACCCUUAUUGUUAGUUGCCAGCGGGUAAUGCCGGGGACUCUAGCGAGACUGCCGUUGUUAAAACGGAGGAAGGUGGGGACGACGUCAAGUCAUCAUGGCCCUUAUGGCCAGGGCGACACACGUGCUACAAUGGCCGGUACAAAGGGAACCAAGACCGCGAGGUGGAGGCAAUCCCACAAAGCCGGCCCCAGUUCGGAUUGCAGGCUGAAAUUCGCCUGCAUGAAGUUGGAAUCGCUAGUAAUCGCGUAUCAGCCAUGACGCGGUGAAUAUGUUCCUGAUCCUUGUACACACCGCCCGUCAAGCCACGAAAGCGGGGAGCGCUCAAAGUCGCUUUGUCCAACCUUCGGGAGGACGGCGCCCAAAGUGAGAUCCGUGAUUGGGACUAAGUCGUAACAAGGUAGCCGUAGGGGAACCUGCGGCUGGAUCACCUCCUUUCUA
rnacentral:rRNA from 1 species